AGUGUUCAUAUGCCAGGAAAAUAUAAAAGCGCCUUUGCUAAAUUUCGAUGUGGUGUGGCGCCAAUAAGAAUUGAAACAGGCAGAUAUGAAGGGGUUUUAAGUGAAAAUAGAUUUUGUUUUAAUGAUUCAUGUAUGCAACAGAAACUCAUUGAAGAUGAGAAACAUGUUUUACUCAAAUGCCCUUUAUAUUCACAUGCAAGACAAGAGGUUUUUACUAGAGCAGUUUCUUUUAAUAUUGAUUUUUUAGACUUAAAUGAUGAUGAAAAAUUUAUAUUUUUAUUUACAAAUGAAAAUUUGUGCUUUUAUUCUGCCAAAAUCUGCC
rnacentral:lncRNA from 1 species